rnacentral:rRNA from 1 species
GGGAAUAUACCCUUUGUACGGAAUAGCCUCUGGAAACGGAGAGUAAUACCGUAUGAGCCCUUCGGGGAAAGAUUUAUCGCCAAAGGAUUAGCCCGCGUUAGAUUAGGUAGUUGGUGGGGUAAUGGCCUACCAAGCCUACGAUCUAUAGCUGGUUUUAGAGGAUGAUCAGCAACACUGGGACUGAGACACGGCCCAGACUCCUACGGGAGGCAGCAGUGGGGAAUCUUGGACAAUGGGGGCAACCCUGAUCCAGCCAUGCCGCGUGAGUGAUGAAGGCCUUAGGGUCGUAAAGCUCUUUCGCCUGUGAAGAUAAUGACGGUAGCAGGUAAAGAAACCCCGGCUAACUCCGUGCCAGCAGCCGCGGUAAUACGGAGGGGGUUAGCGUUGUUCGGAAUUACUGGGCGUAAAGCGCACGUAGGCGGACCAGAAAGUUGGGGGUGAAAUCCCGGGGCUCAACCCCGAACUGCCUCCAAAACUAUUGGUCUAGAGUUCGAGAGAGGUGAGUGGAAUUCCAAGUGUAGAGGUGAAAUUCGUAGAUAUUUGGAGGAACACCAGUGGCGAAGCGGCUCACUGGCUCGAUACUGACGCUGAGGUGCGAAAGUGUGGGGAGCAAACAG